rnacentral:rRNA from 1 species
GACGGAGGAUGCAAGUGUUAUCCGGAAUCACUGGGCGUAAAGCGUCUGUAGGUGGUUUAAAAAGUCUACUGUUAAAAAUUGAAGCUUAACUUCAAAGAUGCCGUAGAAACUUUUAAACUCGAGGAUGGUAGGGGUAGAGGGAAUUUCCAGUGGAGCGGUGAAAUGCGUAGAUAUUGGAAAGACCACCAAUGGCGAAGGCACUCUACUGGGCCAUUACUGACACUGAGAGACGAAAGCUAGGGGAGCGAAUGGG